rfam:Picea glauca, whole genome shotgun sequence.
CGACCCCAGCUUAGGCAAGAACACCCGCUAAGUUUAAGCAUAUAAUUAAGUGGAGGAAAAGAAACUUACAAGGAUUCCCCUAGUAACAACGAGCGAACUGGGAAGAGCCUAGCAUGAAAAUCGAGUGGCAGCGUCGCCUGAAUUAUAGUCUGUAGAAGCGUCCUUAGCGGCAGACUGGGCCCAAGUCCCCUGGAAGGGGGCGCCUGAGAGGGUGACAGUCCCAUUGGGUCGGGACCUUGCCGCACCACGAGGCAUUGUCGGCGACUCGGGUUGUUUGGGAAUGCAGCCCUAAUCGGGUGGUAAAUUCCGUCCAAGGCUAAAUAUGGGUGAGAGACCGAUAGCGAACAAGUACCACGAGGGAAAGAUGAAAAGGACUUUGAAAAGAGAGUUAAAGAGUGCUUGAAAUUUCCGGGAGGGAAGCGGAUGGAGGUCAGCGAUGCAUCUCGGUCGGAUGCAGAACGACUCAAGUUGGUCCGCUGCUUGACUCGAGGUGCGAACCAACACAGGCCAUUGCAUCGGCACAAGC